rnacentral:tRNA from 1 species
GCCCCUGUAGCUCAGUUGGUAGAGCAUGGUGCUUGCAACGCCAGGGUUGUGGGUUUGAUUCCCACGGGGGACC